AACGCGAAGAACCUUACCAAGGCUUGACAUAUACAGGAAUACGGCAGAGAUGUCGUAGCCGCAAGGCCUGUAUACAGGUGGUGCAUGGUUGUCGUCAGCUCGUGUCGUGAGAUGUUGGGUUAAGUCCCGCAACGAGCGCAACCCUCGUCCUGUGUUACCAGCAUUUAGUUGGGGACUCACAGGAGACUGCCGGGGUCAACUCGGAGGAAGGUGGGGAUGACGUCAAAUCAUCAUGCCCCUUAUGUCUUGGGCUGCACGCAUGCUACAAUGGCUGGUACAAAGAGCUGCAAUACCGCAAGGUGGAGCGAAUCUCAAAAAGCCAGUCUCAGUUCGGAUUGGGGUCUGCAACUCGACCCCAUGAAGUCGGAGUUGCUAGUAAUCGUAGAUCAGCAACGCUACGGUGAAUACGUUCCCGGGUCUUGUACACACCG
rnacentral:rRNA from 1 species